UACGUAGGGGGGCAAGCGUUGUCCGGAAUCAUUGGGCGUAAAGAGCGUGUAGGCGGUCCGGUCAGUCGGUUGUGAAAGUCAAGGGCUCAACCCUUGAAUGCCGGCCGAUACUGCCGGGCUAGAGUCCGGAAGAGGUGAGUGGAAUUCCUGGUGUAGCGGUGAAAUGCGCAGAUAUCAGGAGGAACACCAAUUGCGAAGGCAGCUCGCUGGGACGUUACUGACGCUGAGACGCGAAAGCGUGGGGAGCAAACAGG
rnacentral:rRNA from 1 species